GGGCGAGUAGUCUAGGGGUUAUGAUUUCUGCUUUGCAUCCUUGUUAGGAUUACUGCAGAGGGUCCCGCGUUCAAAUCGCGGCUCGUCCA